rnacentral:lncRNA from 1 species
AAUUCUCCCUCAUUGACCAACUGUCCAAUGCUUCCCAACUACACCUACCCCUAUUUAGGACUUCCAAUUGCUUUUGAAAUUUUAUCACAUAGAUAAAGAACUACCUCCUUUCACAUACGGCAGUGGGUUUGUCCCCUAAAUGGCAUUUAAAACGCCAUAUGAUUAUAUUAGAUUGGUUUACCAAGUAUAAGGAAGGUUACUUCAUAAUAUUAUAGUCAUCAAUCCAUCAAAGAGUAAUAACAAAAUAAACUUGUAUGGAUAAAACAAGUCUCAAUGAAUUUGAAUGGAUUUAAGUCAUAUAAAUUAUGCUCUCUGAUGACAGUGAAAUUAAGUUAGAAAUCAAUAAAAAAAAUUAUCUGGAAAAUCCUGAAUUCAAGUAUCACAAUGUACCAUGCUUCUAAAUUACCCAUGAGCGAAGGUUGAAAUUACAUUUACACUAAGGAGCAUUGUGGAAUAAAUUAAAAUGAAUACAACAUACCAAUAUUUGUGAAAUGCCAGGAAGUCCGUACUUAGAGGGGAGGAUUAUAACACCAAAUGCCUAUAUUAGAAAAGAAGAAAGUUUUCCAAUCAAGUACCUCACUUCUACCUUAAGAUACUAGAAUAAGUAGAAUGNNNNNNNNNNNNNNNNUUUUUUUGUAUCAAACUAAACAUCUCAUUUCAGAAUAUAAAAGUAGAGUACAGUUGAUACUGUACAUAUAUGAUACUCAGCAUAAAAUGAAGACUGUAGAUGCAGGUACACAUGAUGACUCAAUAUUAUGCUACUGAAGAAGAAGAUACAAGGAGUAAUACUUCAUGAUUCCAUUGAUUUUAAACUCU